GAGUUUGAUCGUGGCUCAGAACGAACGCUGGCGGCAGGCCUAAUACAUGCAAGUCGAACGCACCGCAAGGUGAGUGGCAGACGGGUGAGUAACGCGUGGGAAUAUUCCUUGCAGUACGGAAUAACUCCGGGAAACCGGUGCUAAUACCGUAUACGCCCUUUGGGGGAAAGAUUUAUCGCUGCAAGAUUAGCCCGCGUCGGAUUAGCUAGUUGGUGAGGUAAUGGCUCACCAAGGCGACGAUCCGUAGCUGGUCUGAGAGGAUGAUCAGCCACACUGGGACUGAGACACGGCCCAGACUCCUACGGGAGGCAGCAGUAGGGAAUAUUGGACAAUGGGCGAAAGCCUGAUCCAGCCAUGCCGCGUGAGUGAAGAAGGCCUUAGGGUU
rnacentral:rRNA from 1 species